CCUACGGGAGGCAGCAGUGAGGAAUAUUGGGCAAUGGGCGGAAGCCUGAACCAGCCAAGUAGCGUGCAGGAUGACGGCCCUACGGGUUGUAAACUGCUUUUAUACGGGAAUAACGCGCCUUACGUGUAGGGCUUUGCAUGUACCGUAAGAAUAAGGACCGGGUAAUUCCGUGCCAGCAGCCGCAGUAAUACGGAGGGUCCGGGCGUUGUCCGGAUUUAUUGGGUGGAAAGGGAGCGCAGGCCGCAUGUCAAGCGUGCUGUGAAAUGCACGGGCGCAACCCGGGCCUUGCAGCGCGAACUGGCGUGCUUGAGUACGCGAAAAGCAGGCGGAAUUCGUCGUGUAGCGGUGAAAUGCUUAGAUAUGACGAGGAACCCCGAUUGCGAAGGCAGCUUGCUGCAGCGGAACGGACGCUGAUGCUCGAAAGCGUGGGUAUCGAACAGGAUUAGAUACCCGUGUAGUC
rnacentral:rRNA from 1 species